UCCGGAGGGAGCCAUCGUUAAUCGGAAUUACUGGGCGUAAAGGGUGCGUAGGUGGUUGAUUAAGUUAUCUGUGAAAUUCCUGGGCUUAACCUGGGACGGUCAGAUAAUACUGGUUGACUCGAGUAUGGGAGAGGGUAGUGGAAUUUCCGGUGUAGCGGUGAAAUGCGUAGAGAUCGGAAGGAACACCAGUGGCGAAGGCGGCUACCUGGCCUAAUACUGACACUGAGGCACGAAAGCGUGGGGAGAAAACAGG
rnacentral:rRNA from 1 species